UACAGAGGGGGCAAGCGUUGUUCGGAAUUACUGGGCGUAAAGGGCGCGUAGGCGGCCCGCUAAGUCGAACGUGAAAUCCCCAGGCUCAACCUGGGAACUGCGUCCGAUACUGGCAGGCUUGAAUCCGGGAGAGGGAUGUGGAAUUCCUGGUGUAGCGGUGAAAUGCGUAGAUAUCAGGAGGAACACCUGCGGUGUAGACGGCUUACUGGACCAUAACUGACGCUGAGGCACGAAAGCGUGGGUAGCAAACAGG
rnacentral:rRNA from 1 species